GGUUAUGCUUACAAGUUGGGGGAAGGCAAGAGCUUACCUCAGGGAUGGCAAAUAUGUGGUCUGCACACUGCCAGCCCCCCAUUCCACAUCGUGCCGAUGUGGCCAACAGGUCACCGAUGCACGCUUUCCUUCACGCUUGGACUGUGCCUCAGAAUCCUCAUCACAGGGCCCAGGCCCCCAAAUCCCAGGUCCCUACCCAAGUAGGCACGUGCGAGAGAACUUCUUUCUUAUCCUGACCCCAACUGAUGGGAGUGGUGUAGACUGGCAGGGCAAGGUGUCCCCACUCUGCUUCCUGCUCCCGAAAAUCCUCUGAAAUGUCUUGACCAUUCCUCCAGGAAGCCACCUUGCUGGAGGGCCUGAGCGGGACAGGGAUUGGAAGAGCCAAUCACAUCUCCUCGUCUGCAGGCUUCCCGCCGACCACGAGUGAGGAGGCCCCAGCCCCGGGUGGGACGUGAUAGGAGGGCCUGGGCUUGGCGGCACAGGAUAUCCUUCCCACAAGGGUCCAGGAUUUGGGCCAUCUGCUCAGCAAGAUGCUCCCAGGCAGCACUGUCCAGGUGCCCAUCUCCUUAACCCCAUACGUCCUUGACACUAAAAACUCUCUUCUAAUCAAGGCUAAGUUUAUGAAGCUGCAAGAUGCACG